rnacentral:rRNA from 2 species
GACGAACGCUGGCGGCGUGCCUAAUACAUGCAAGUCGAACGAACUCUGGUAUUGAUUGGUGCUUGCAUCAUGAUUUACAUUUGAGUGAGUGGCGAACUGGUGAGUAGCACGUGGGAAACCUGCCCAGAAGCGGGGGAUAACACCUGGAAACAGAUGCUAAUACCGCAUAACAACUUGGACCGCAUGGUCCGAGCUUGAAAGAUGGCUUCGGCUAUCACUUUUGGAUGGUCCCGCGGCGUAUUAGCUAGAUGGUGGGGUAAUGGCUCACCAUGGCAAUGAUACGUAGCCGACCUGAGAGGGUAAUCGGCCACAUUGGGACUGAGACACGGCCCAAACUCCUACGGGAGGCAGCAGUAGGGAAUCUUCCACAAUGGACGAAAGUCUGAUGGAGCAACGCCGCGUGAGUGAAGAAGGGUUUCGGCUCGUAAAACUCUGUUGUUAAAGAAGAACAUAUCUGAGAGUAACUGUUCAGGUAUUGACGGUAUUUAACCAGAAAGCCACGGCUAACUACGUGCCAGCAGCCGCGGUAAUACGUAGGUGGCAAGCGUUGUCCGGAUUUAUUGGGCGUAAAGCGAGCGCAGGCGGUUUUUUAAGUCUGAUGUGAAAGCCUUCGGCUCAACCGAAGAAGUGCAUCGGAAACUGGGAAACUUGAGUGCAGAAGAGGACAGUGGAACUCCAUGUGUAGCGGUGAAAUGCGUAGAUAUAUGGAAGAACACCAGUGGCGAAGGCGGCUGUCUGGUCUGUAACUGACGCUGAGGCUCGAAAGUAUGGGUAGCAAACAGGAUUAGAUACCCUGGUAGUCCAUACCGUAAACGAUGAAUGCUAAGUGUUGGAGGGUUUCCGCCCUUCAGUGCUGCAGCUAACGCAUUAAGCAUUCCGCCUGGGGAGUACGGCCGCAAGGCUGAAACUCAAAGGAAUUGACGGGGGCCCGCACAAGCGGUGGAGCAUGUGGUUUAAUUCGAAGCUACGCGAAGAACCUUACCAGGUCUUGACAUACUAUGCAAAUCUAAGAGAUUAGACGUUCCCUUCGGGGACAUGGAUACAGGUGGUGCAUGGUUGUCGUCAGCUCGUGUCGUGAGAUGUUGGGUUAAGUCCCGCAACGAGCGCAACCCUUAUUAUCAGUUGCCAGCAUUAAGUUGGGCACUCUGGUGAGACUGCCGGUGACAAACCGGAGGAAGGUGGGGAUGACGUCAAAUCAUCAUGCCCCUUAUGACCUGGGCUACACACGUGCUACAAUGGAUGGUACAACGAGUUGCGAACUCGCGAGAGUAAGCUAAUCUCUUAAAGCCAUUCUCAGUUCGGAUUGUAGGCUGCAACUCGCCUACAUGAAGUCGGAAUCGCUAGUAAUCGCGGAUCAGCAUGCCGCGGUGAAUACGUUCCCGGGCCUUGUACACACCGCCCGUCACACCAUGAGAGUUUGUAACACCCAAAGUCGGUGGGGUAACCUUUUAGGAACCAGCCGCCUAAGGUGGGACAGAUGAUUAGGGUG